rnacentral:rRNA from 1 species
CCUACGGGGGGCAGCAGUGGGGAAUAUUGGGCAAUGGGCGCAAGCCUGAUCCAGCAACGCCGCGUGAAUGAAGAAGUCUUUCGGGUUGUAAACCUCUAUUCUCAGGGACGAAGAAAGUGACGGUACCUGAGGAAUAAGCCACGGCUAACUACGUGCCAGCAGCCGCGGUAAUACGUAGGGGGCAAGCGUUAUCCGGAUUUAAUGGGUGUAAAGGGCGUGUAGGCGGGGGUGCAAGUCAGAAGUGAAAGCCCAGGGCCCAACCCUGAGACUGCGUUUGAAACUGUGGUUCUGGAGUGCUGGAGAGGCAAGCGGAAUUCCGGGUGUAGCGGUGAAAUGCGUAGAUAUAAGGAGGAACACCAGUGGCGAAGGCGGAUUGCUGGACAGUAACUGACGCUGAGGCGCGAAAGCGUGGGGAGCAAACAGGAUUAGAUACCCUUGUAGUC